rnacentral:rRNA from 1 species
GACGAACGCUGGCGGCGUGCUUAACACAUGCAAGUCGAACGGUAAGGCCCUUCGGGGUACACGAGUGGCGAACGGGUGAGUAACACGUGGGUGAUCUGCCCUGCACUUCGGGAUAAGCCUGGGAAACUGGGUCUAAUACCGGAUAGGACCCUGGGAUGCAUGUCCUGGGGUGGAAAGCUUUUGCGGUGUGGGAUGGGCCCGCGGCCUAUCAGCUUGUUGGUGGGGUGAUGGCCUACCAAGGCGACGACGGGUAGCCGGCCUGAGAGGGUGAGCGGCCAGACUGGGACUGAGAUACGGCCCAGACUCCUAAGGGAGGCAGCAGUGGGGAAUAUUGCACAAGGGGCGCAAGCCUGAUGCAGCGACGCCGCAUGAGGGAUGACGGCAUUCGGGUUGUAAACCUCUUUCAGCACCGACGAAGCGCAAGUGACGGUAGGUGCAGAAGAAGGACCGGCCAACUACGUGCCAGCCGCCGCGGUAA